GGAGGAUUUGAUCCUGGUCCAGGAUGAACGCUGGCGGCGUGGAUAAGGCAUGCAAGUCGUACGCAUCAUUUUAUUAUGGUGAGUGGCGAACGGGUUAGUAACACCUUGGUACGUACCCCACAGACGGGAAUAGCUUCGGGAAACCGGAGGUAAUGCCCGAUAGUCCCAGCUUCACUUUUGUUCUUGAGAAUGAGACAAUUAAGUUGAUAUGUAUAUUGUGUAUAUUAUUCAGCAUUCAGCUGAUAAAGAAAUUUACAUAGGAUUUACAACAAACUUAGAAAAACGUCUCAUUGCUCAUAAUGGCAAACUUAACAGAUCAACAAGGCGAAAGAGCGGAAACUGGAAACUGGUUUACGCUGAGGCUUAUCGAUCUGAAAAAGAUGCAAGAAUGCGCGAGAAAAAACUAAAGCAUCAUGGCAGUAGUAAACAUGAGCUUAAGAAAAGAAUUGCUAAUAGUUUAAUCGAGAACAAAAGUGAGGCUGGGUAAAUGGAGCAAUCCGCUGUGGGAUCGGCCUAGGCCCGAUCAGCUUGUUGGUGAGGUAAUGGCUCACCAAGGCUAUGACCGGUAGGGGGGCUGAGAGGCUGACCCNNNNNNNNNNNNNNNNNNNNGGAAUAAGGAGCUGCAAACUUCGUGCCAGCAGCAGCGGUAAUACGAAGGCUCCAAGCGUUAUCCGGAUUUAUUGGGCGUAAAGCGUGCGCAGGUGGUUUGAUGCGUCUUGUGUUAAAUCCUAUUGCCUAACAAUAGGGCUGCAUGGGAUACGGUCAAACUAGAGGAUGUGAGAGGCUACUGGAACUCACGGUGUAGGGGUGAAAUCCGUUGAUAUCGUGGGGAACACCAAAGGCGAAGGCAGGUAGCUGGCACAUUUCCUGACACUCAUUGCACGAAAGCUAGGGUCGCGAAUGGGAUUAGAUACCCCAGUAGUCCUAGCCGUAAACGAUGCCAACUAGGUGUUUCGAGUAUCGACCCUCGGAGUGCCGUAGCUAACGCGUUAAGUUGGCCGCCUGGGAAGUACGGCCGCAAGGCUAAAACUCAAAGGAAUAGACGGGGACUCGCACAAGCGGUGGAGCAUGAGGCUUAAUUCGAUACUAACCGGAAAACCUCACCUAGGCUUGAAAUCCAUGGGAAUACCUCUGGAAACAGAGGUAGCCUUCGGGCUCAUGGACAGGUGUUGCAUGGUUGUCGUCAGCUCGUGCCUUGAGGUGUUCCCUUAAGUGGGGUAACGAGCGCAACCCGCACUGUGUGUUAUACAUGUCACACGGAACUGCCCUGCCUUUAGCUCGCAAAGCGAGCAAAUACCAAAUCGCAAGCAACAAAUACCAAAUAAAUCUCAAAUUCGAAAAUUAGAAUUUCGAAACUUGGAAAUUAUUUGGGAUUUGGAUCUUGGAUAUUGGGAUUUGCCGACUUUGUUGGUUAGAGGCAGGGAGGAAGGAGCGGAUGACGUCAAAUCAGCAUGGCCCUCUGACGCCUAGGGCUGCACUCAUGCUACAAUGGCGAUGACAAUGGGUUUGCCAAGUCGCAAGACGGAGCUAAUCCCCAAACAUCGCCUCAGUUCGGAUUGUGGGCUGCAAUUCGCCCACAUGAAGUAGGAAUCGCUAGUAAUCGCGGAUCAGCAUGCCGCGGUGAAUACGUUCUCGAGUCCUGUACUCACCGCCCGUCACGUCAAGGGAGCCGGGAAUACCCGAAAUGCGUUUUCGAACGUAUCAAGGUAGGUUCGGUGACAUGGACGAAGUCGUAACAAGGCACGCGUAGCGGAAGCUGUGCGUGGAUCA
rnacentral:rRNA from 1 species